AUUGAACGCUGGCGGCAGGCCUAACACAUGCAAGUCGAGCGAGCGGCGGACGGGUGAGUAAUGUCUGGGAAACUGCCUGAUGGAGGGGGAUAACUACUUGAAACGGUAGCUAAUACCGCAUACCAUCAGAUGUGCCCAGAUGGGAUUAUCUAGUCGGUGGGGUAACGGCUCACCUAGGCGACGAUCCCUAGCUGGUCUGAGAGGAUGACCAGCCACACGGGAACUGAGACACGGUCCAGACUCCUAAGGGAGGCAGCAGUGGGGAAUAUUGCACAAGGGGCGCAAGGCUGAUGCAGCCAUGCCGGGUGUGUGAAGAAGGCCUUAGGGUUGUAAAGCACUUUCAGCGGGGAGGGGUUACCGGCAGAAGAAGCACAGGCUAACUCCGUGCCAGCAGCCGCGGUAAUAC
rnacentral:rRNA from 1 species